GUCACCUUUGACAUGAUAAGUUAGGCACCUUUCCUUUUCCCUAAAAACAAAAGCAUGCAGAUGAUUGGAACUUACAGUGUACUUUUACCAAGAUGGAUGGUCAUUAUUGGCAUCGUCUUUAUAAUAGUAUUGAACAACUCCUUAUACUCGAUUUUGCUUUCUCUAUUUUUUCCCUAAUCAUUGAUAUAAUUACAUGAGCUAAGCAAUAGAAGGCAGCCAUAUUUGCCUUUAUAUAUAGAAUCUCACACAAGGAACUAAAGAGCUAGCUCUUUCAAAUUUGUGCAUCCACUAUAGUGGUCAAG
rnacentral:misc_RNA from 1 species